UGGGGAAUAUUGCACAAUGGGGGAAACCCUGAUGCAGCGACGCCGCGUGAAGGAAGAAGUAUCUCGGUAUGUAAACUUCUAUCAGCAGGGAAGAUAGUGACGGUACCUGACUAAGAAGCCCCGGCUAACUACGUGCCAGCAC
rnacentral:rRNA from 1 species